rnacentral:rRNA from 1 species
GAUGAACGCUGGCGGCGUGCCUAAUACAUGCAAGUCGAGCGAACAGACGAGGAGCUUGCUCCUCUGACGUUAGCGGCGGACGGGUGAGUAACACGUGGAUAACCUACCUAUAAGACUGGGAUAACUUCGGGAAACCGGAGCUAAUACCGGAUAAUAUAUUGAACCGCAUGGUUCAAUAGUGAAAGACGGUUUUGCUGUCACUUAUAGAUGGAUCCGCGCCGCAUUAGCUAGUUGGUAAGGUAACGGCUUACCAAGGCAACGAUGCGUAGCCGACCUGAGAGGGUGAUCGGCCACACUGGAACUGAGACACGGUCCAGACUCCUACGGGAGGCAGCAGUGGGGAAUCUUCCGCAAUGGGCGAAAGCCUGACGGAGCAACGCCGCGUGGGUGAAGAAGGUCUUCGGGUUGUAAAACUCUGUUAUUAGGGAAGAACAAAUGUGUAAGUAACUAUGCACGUCUUGACGGUACCUAAUCAGAAAGCCACGGCUAACUACGUG